UACGAAGGAGGCUAGCGUUGCUCGGAAUCACUGGGCGUAAAGCGCACGUAGGCGGCUUUCUAAGUCAGGGGUGAAAUCCUGGAGCUCAACUCCAGAACUGCCUUUGAUACUGGAGAGCUUGAGUCCGGAAGAGGUGAGUGGAACUCCGAGUGUAGAGGUGAAAUUCGUAGAUAUUCGGAAGAACACCAGUGGCGAAGGCGGCUCACUGGUCCGGUACUGGACGCUGAUGUGCGAAAGCGUGGGGAGCAAACAGG
rnacentral:rRNA from 1 species